rnacentral:rRNA from 1 species
AGCAGCCGCGGUAAUUCCAGCUCCAAUAGCGUAUAUUAAAGUUGUUGCAGUUAAAAAGCUCGUAGUUGAAUUUCGGGAUCAGUUGGUCGGUCGUGCCUCGGUACGUACUGGUCAAAUUGAUUCCUACCUUCUGACGAACCACGAUGUCAUUAAUUUGGUGUCGCGGGAAAUCAGGACUGUUACUUUGAAAAAAUUAGAGUGUUUAAAGCAGGCUCGCGCUUGAAUACAUUAGCAUGGAAUAAUGAAAUAGGACGUUUGAUUCUAUUUUGUUGGUUUCUAGGAUCGACGUAAUGAUUAAUAGGGAUAGUUGGGGGCAUUAGUAUUCAAUUGUCAGAGGUGAAAUUCUUGGAUUUAUUGAAGACUAACUACUGCGAAAGCAUUUGCCAAGGAUGUUUUCAUUAAUCAAGAACGAAAGUUAGGGGAUCGAAGACGAUCAGAUACCGUCGUAGUCUUAACCAUAAACUAUGCCGACUAGGGAUCGGAUGAUGUUAAUUUUUUAAUGACUCAUUCGGCGCCUUACG